CAUUACUUGCUCUGAGCAGGUUAGCCAGGAAGGGAAGAUAAACACUAUUUACCUAAUAAGUCCUGUAAGAACCCUGUAGAAUGUCUUUCCUGAUUUACCAUUGUAUGGUUGGAAAAAGCACAAUAUUCCUCUUUGCUUGUAUUUUUUCUCAACCAACUUUGAAGUCGAUGGGAAGGAUUGUUGAAGUUUGGCUAAAGUCAGUUGUCAAUAUCUGGAGGGAUUCGAAUUGGGUGCUUAGAAGAAUGUGGUGACUCACCUGUAGUCCUUCUUCAAGAUGGUGCCAGACACUCUCGAGCCUUGGAAUUUGAAUUUCUAGUGCAACCCCUGAUCAGAUCCUGGCACACAACAUUCUAAGUCUGAGACUAAAGCAUUCUCCUUCAUCCUCCUGCUUUUUGGAACAAUCAAAAGUAGCGACUCUGAGGUUCCAUGGCAAUCGUGAGUUUCCCGUGAAGAAGCUCCUCUCUCCCAUCCUUGACUCACAGAACCACAGACCUUCAGAAUCCCGCUCCCGUUAUUUCAGUUCACAGUGUAACUAGAGACACAGAAUACCUCUUCCCAACCCGAAGAUGCUAAGGAGAGAAGACUGGCACUUUUUGAAAGAAGCUUAACUGAAGCCUUAUAAGGAAUAAAUUCAAAUCUCUGGCCAAGUUUUUGUGCAGUUAGGGCAGCCACAAUUAGCAGAUCAGUGAGUCAUCAAUAAGCUUACGUCUUAUUUGCCAUGGGCCUAGGGGACACAGUUUGAGAGUUUGUUCAUGUGGAGCAAAUAAAAAACUAUCAUUCAGCUCUGCCUAAAAUGUGAAUUGCAUGUACACAUGCCCUCCAACAGCUGUCUGCUUGGCAAUAAUAAGAUUAAAGGGGAGAUUUCCAAGGGGACCAAACUAGGCUAGCCUCUUGCCACCUGGAGUGUUCCGUGGGAUUUGAAGCACCAAGGGUACACCUUGGGUGUCCUGCUGGAGGGCUAUGUUAUUAUGCCAAACUGAGCAACUUGGUCCUGGGGAAGCGUUCUUGGGACGUCAUGAGCCCGAAGUAAGACCAGCCCCAGAGGGCUUAGGUUUGCAUUCCCUAAGGGUGGGAACUCACAGAAGAGACUAAGAGGAAGCAUGGCUUUUCCAGAAAGCUCAAAUCUGCGUUCAGGAAAGCAAGCUCAAGAACAGGAGAUGUUCUUAAGAAUGACUUGACGGAAGAAUACCCAACCAACUUCAUGGGUGUUUCCAUAUUGGACUUUGGAAAAAGUCACAUUUAUUUAGAGAUUUUUCUUUAAUUUUCUCUCUUUGACAUUGUAAAUCCUUUCAGUUAACAAAACCCGUCAGGAAAGGCUGAUAUACUUCAACAAUAUUGCAAGAUAGUGCUGUGGUGACUGAAGAAAUGGAGUAGGAGAGGGGAGGACGUCUUCGGGAAGGCAAUCUACGUUCUUUCUGAGGUGGAUUACACAGAGAUGGAGAAAGCUAAUGAGCUGUGGCAGACUAGCCUGUAAUAGCUUAAUCUUCCUGUUGAGAACAACUAAAAAUUUGGACAAAAUAUUAACAAAAUACAUCAGAGAACUACCAAAGCAACGUGGAUUUAAGAGGACAAGGAUGCAGAGAGGAGAGCUAAGCAAUAAGUUCUUUUCUUCUUUCCCACUUUGAAAGUAUUAAUAAAACAAACUUAUAGAAAGAGUUCUAGUUUAGUACCCAAAUGCUGAAUGACUGAAUAAGGGGAAUCUGUGUGGCAACCAUGGCUAUCACCUGGAUUUUUCAUUUAUUUCUUAGAAAAUUGCAAUUCUUUAGUCAUUUUCAACUGUGAUAUGUUUUGGCUAUUUUGGAUUUUAGACACAAGCAGAUUGGAAUUCUUCACAGUGAAUCAUGUUACAACCAAAUGACAAAGUACGGAAUACUAGUAGUUACUAUGCGUAACACAGGAAGAAGCUUUGCAUGAUUGUUAAAACUUGGAUUUGAGUCCAGUAGACAUGGAUUUGAAUCCUGGCUGGCCAUCCACAUACUAUCCAUUUUACUUUGGAACACACUAAGUUUGCUUCUCUGAAGAAUAAUCCUGGACUCAAACAGAGCCAGAAAAAUGAAUAAAAAUAGGGGACACAUCCUACUGAUUACUGAAAUAUCAUACCUCAUGUUUUUAAAAAAAUAUGUAUUUUUUCUAUUUGGAGUUUGUUAUAUGGAAAAAAUUUUAUGAAACAAAAUGACUUUUUGCAGUGUAAAGAUGGUUAGUCAAUAAAUGGGCUGAGAAAAAUGGUUAAAUCUGUAUUUCACUCAUUAUAUUUGAAUUUCACCAAAAUACAUUUCAGGCGCAUCAGAGAUUUAAACAGGAAAAACAAAUUAGCAACCAGAGGAAAACAUGGGUUUAAAAAAAAUCCAGGAAUGAACCAUUCUAAGACUGAUGCCAAAUCCAGACCAUAAAAGAAAGUAAAUGAAUUUUAUCUAUGAUAAUGUUAAAAAAUGCCUCUCAAAAUUUAAAAUUAUCUAUAAUAAGAAUAAUAAAAAUUAAAAGAUAAAUGACAAACUAAGAAAACAUAUUUACCAUAAGUGUUAUGUACAGAGGGCUAAUUUUAAUACAUAAAGAGCAACAACAAAUUAAUAUAAAAUGACCGAAGUCUCAAUAGAAAAAAAAAUGAGCAAAAGAUACAAACAGCAGGAAACAAAAUUCUUAAGCAUAUGAUUCUCAAUCUCAUUUAUAUUCAGACAGACAAAAUGAAAGUUAGAUACGACUUUUUAUUUAUCAGAUUUGCAAAUAUAGGAAGGUUUAAAACGUUUUGUGGGUGAGAGCACAGGGCUGCAGACAGCCCACACACAAUUAGUGGAACUGGUCUAAUCGCUAUAGAAGGCAAUUUCGCAAUAUUGUCAAAAUGUAAAAUUCCUAUACCUUUUGACUGCUAGGAAUUUUCAUAUACACAAGACAUGCAAAGAUAUUCAUUGCAGCAUUAUUUAUAAUAACAAUAGAAAAACAAUGUGGAUGUUUAACAAUAGGAGAAUGAUUAGAGUAUAUGCACCUUGUUAAAAAGAACUAUAUGCUUUUUAUGUCCUGAAUUGCAACUAUCUCUAUGAUAUAAUAUUAAAAAAGAAAAAGCAUGAUAUUUUUAGUAGUACAGUAGGCUAUCAUUUGUGAAAUAGCAAUAAUACAUGCACAUACAUAUUCUUGUCUAUCGCUGGAAGAAUGUCUGGCAAAAGUAGUAGUCUUGGGAAAGAAGAAAGGGUAGGAGAGAAACCUUCCACUAUUCACAUUUUUAAUAUUGAGUUUAUGUAUUUCAUAUUCAUGUAAAUACAUUAAUUAUAUGUAUAAGGCAACAUUUAAUAUUUAAUAUGUACAAAUGGUCUCAGCAUAAAAAUGCUCCUCUUCAAUGUUUUGAGCCUGUUUAACAAUUUCACUGUACUAUAUAUGGGAUCUAAAAAAAAAUAAAAACAAAAAACUCAAACUCAUAAAUACAGAGAACAGAUUGGGCGGGUGCCAGAGGUGGGGGGUGGGGAGGGUGAGUGAAAUGGGUGAAGGGAGUCAAAAGGUACAAACUUCUAGUUAUAAAAUAAGUAAGUCCUGGGGAUGUAAUGCACAGCAUGGAGACUAUAUUUAAUAAUACUGUAUUGUGUAUCUGAAAGUUGCUAAGAGAGAAGAUCUUAAAAGUUCUCACCAUAAGAAAAAAAAUUUGUAACUAUGUGUGGUGACAGAUGUUAACUAGACUUACUGUGGUGAUAAUUUUGCAAUAUAUACAAAUAUCAAAUCAUUAUGUUGUACCCCUGAAACUAAUAUAAUGUUAUCUGUUAAUUGUAUCUCAAUAAAAAAUAAAUCUACAAAAAAAUUGCACUGUGAUUUUAUACCUUCAAAAUCUAUAGAUUUGAAGCUCUGAAUAGUCUUUGACCUCUAUGAGAAAUGAAUGAAUUCCUGACCGAAGGAACCACUUACACCCUUUAAUUAGAUGUUUAUAUGACCACGGGGAAAGAUGGAAGAAUCCACACCAAGUUGCUAUCGCCUCUCACUUAAGGUGGUAGAAGGACAGCAGUUAGAUUGCCUUCAGCAAGUCCUAGCGAUCUUGAUUCAAAUUGAUUUUGAAAGUGAG
rnacentral:lncRNA from 1 species